rnacentral:rRNA from 1 species
CGGAUUGUAGGCUGAAACUCGCCUGCAUGAAGUCGGAAUUGCUAGUAACCGCGGAUCAGCAUGCCGCGGUGAAUACGUUCCCGGGCCUUGUACACACCGCCCGUCACACCAUGAGAGCCGGUAACACCCGAAGUCAAUAGCCUAACCGCAAGGAGGGCAUUGCCGAAGGUGGGAUUGGUAAUUGGGGUGAAGUCGUAACAAGGUAAC